rnacentral:lncRNA from 1 species
UUUUUUUUUUUUGUCUUUUGUCUUUUGUCUUUUUUUAGGGCUGCACCCAAGGCACACGGAGGCUCCCAGGCUGGGGGUCAAAUCAGAGCCACAGCUGCUGGCCUACACCACAGCCACAGCAAUGUGGGAUCCAAGCCACACCUGUGACCUACACCACAGCCCACGGCAACACUGGAUCCUCAGCCCACCAAGGGAGGACGGGGAUCGAACCUGAAACCUCAUGGUUCUUCAACCACUGAGCCACGACAGGAACUCCUAAUGUAGCAGUUUGCAUGUACUAACCCCAAACUCCCCGUCCCUCCCUCCACCUCCCCCUGGGCAACCACAAGUCUGUUCUUCAUGUCUGCAGUCUGCUUCUGUUCUGUAGACAGGUUCAUUUGUGCCGUAUUUUAGAUUCUGCGUAGAAGUGGCAUCACAUGGUAUCUGUCUUCUCUUCCUGGCUUCGCCUAUAUGAGAAUCCCUAGUUGCACCAGGAACAUGGCUCUCAACGUUCUGCGAUCCUUUCCUGUUGGAUUUCCAUUGUGUCUCCAGUGUGACUGUUCUGUAUAAACCUGUUGUUGGAGGAGAAAGUCCUCUAUGCUCUGGUCGUUCCGACUGUGCAGGCUUCUCUUGUUACAUCUUUCCACUCAUUUAUAGGACCUCUAAUAGGUGACACUGGUUCCAUGACUUGUAAUGAGCUCCUAAGGCGUCCUUGAGAACAUGGGAGGUUGGAGUUUUGCUUGGAAGCCAAUGUUAGUAUUACUUCAAAGAACUUGGAAGAAACCAAUUAGCAUCUUCCAAUCAACACUUCAGAUUUGCAGCUGGUGCUUAGGGGAUUCUUGAUAACGAGCACUUAGCAAUAUUGAUCUAGAAACUCCCAAUAUUACUUUGACGAACUCCCACUGGCUCCAUAAAUAGGGAAGUCAAAGGAAAACGGGCACCUGCUCAAAGAGCAAUAGGAAAGAAGGUUGCUAGACUCUUCAGAGCCGUUUGCAAGGCAGUCAGACAAAUAGUAUCUACUGGGUUUUCGCUUCCUAAAUAGAAGACAUGAUGUGAAAAGGCAUGGUUCUGGCCCCAUGGGACUAUAAGCAUUGAUAUAUAGAAAUGAAGAAUUGCAAAUCACAUGACACUGCGCCUGGAUCCAGACAUGCCAAGGAGCAUGAGAGUUGUACUUUGGAAGGCUUGCGAAUAAGGAGUGACAAGGAAAAGAGUGGAGUCAAAGACCUACAGUGGGCAGUCAUGAGAUAGAAAUUGUGACAGGUGACAUGACAGCUUUUUAAACAAAAGUUUUGCAAGUAAAACCAAAGGGAACAUGUGACUGAGUCCUUUGUCACCACCUUUCUUUUCUCUUACAGGACAAAGAGGUCAGUUUCUCCUGAAGGACACCCCCCUCGGUAGAGGUGGAGGGUGGAAGGCAGUGAGAAAAUGAAGAUCCCUGUCCGUCCUUGUGGGUCCACUCGCCCCGGCUGGUUCCCGGGGCCCCGUCUCCCCCACUCAUGUCCCUUGUCGUCUCCCAACUCUCUGCCCCACUGCCUUCAAGUGGCACCAAAACUCGCAAAAUGCUUCCCCAUGGAAUGUUUUGCUGUCUCCCCCAGCUGUCCGAGGUUAAGUACCUAAAACCAAUCCUUCGUCAUGUAAACUGUCAGCUUUAUCCUAGGGACACUCUUGGAUCAAAUGCUAUCUCCUUCCUGUGUCUUGAAAGCCAUUGUGUCACAUAUUAUACUCACUGUGUGUGUGUGUGUGUGUGUGUGUGUGUGUGUGUGUGUGCGCGCGAUUUAGGUAAACCCAGAGACCAUGCCCUUCCAUCUUGGACAGACACAGAAUUAAUAUUGUAUAAAUUAUUCUGUAUUCACUUUUAAAAAGCCCCCAUCCAUCCUCAUAUCAAAACCCCCCAUCCAAUCUCUAUAAAACCAGUGACUCCUAUGAUCUAUCUGUGCGGCACAAUCAGGGUGGGCCUGAAGUGCGUGAGGAAGGUGUGACUUUGGAGAACUUCCUCCAGUUGACUGUCCAGCUGUUUCUAAAGAAUAGAGAAGAUAAAUGAGGACUUUCCAGGUGGCUCAGCUCCGUGGGUUAAGAAUCCAGCAUUGUCACUGCUGUGGCUCAGGUUUGGAUCCCUGGCCUCGACUUCCAAAUGCCACAGGGGAGCCAAAAAAAAGAAGAGGAAAGAAAGAAAAAAGAAGAAGAUAAAUGAGGGAGAAUGUAAGAGGUCGAGCAGAAGCUAAGGAGAAGUUGAUCCUGCCCUCUCGGGGCUCACUUUCUAGCAGGGGAACACAGGGUUUACUGUAAAAAAAAAAAAAAAAAAAAAAAAA